GACGAGACCCCCGAGGGUCUCCGCGCAGAUACCCACCGCCCCCUCCCGACCCUGCCCGGGGGCCACGACGAGGGUGGAGGCUCGGCCGCCCCGGCCCCUCCCGCGGCCCCGGCCCCGGUCCCGCUCCCCGCCCGCCCGGCCCGGGAUGCCGCGGCCGCCGCCGGGUCCCGUCCCCGCCCGCGGCCCCUCUCACCAACCGCCUGCGGGAGCAGCGCUCCCUCCGCGGGCACAGCGGUGCAGGGACGGAGGCAGGGAAGAGGAGACGGAGAGAAAGCGAGAGGCAACCGCUCCCUGGGGCCGACCCAACCCGGACGCACAUCCCGGCUCCCCCGCCCGGAAACGCCGUCAGGACCGGGGGCGCCGCUCGGGGAGGUGCCUGCCCGCUGCCUCCGCCCCCGCGGCGGCGAGACCCCCGCCGGGUGGGGGUUGGUCGGGAGGCUCCUGCCAGGGGUUUGCGGUAGGGUCGUUGUCCGCCUGAGUCGGGCUUGAAGCGAGGGAGAGGUUGCUUUUUCGUCUGGGUUCCUGAGGAAAGAUACGGGCAAGGCUGAUCUUCCCGGCCCCUGCCUGCAUUCGUCCUUGUUCCACUCCCUAUCCGCCGGCCUUCCUCACCUCGUCCUUCACGGAAAACAGUGUGAUCAGCCACAGGCUUUCUUUAGGCCAUCAAUGAGGGCAGCUGCCGUUCCUGUGUAGCUUUUUUUGACCAAGGUGUGCCCAUCAUCGUGGCACAUGGUCUGCCAGCUCCCAGGUUUUAUAUAAAACAGGGUAUGAUAGAUGUCAAGUAUUCCAGGCAGACUGUUCCCCCUUCUCUCCGUUGACUGGAAAAGGAGCCUGUGGCCACAGCUGUAUAAGAACCUCUACUGAAAGUUGAAGAAAAAAUAUACGACUCAAUCACAGGAACAUUUAGUACUGUCAGGAGACUGCACCAGAAAGGUGCUGCUGUUCCCUACUUGGUCUAUGCCUACAUUUGGAGGAGCAGAGGGCUGGAAGGUGGGAGCUCUGCUUCUCUUCCUGGGACACUGAACUCCUUGGAUGGCAAGGCUGAGGUGGAGCCAUGAUAAAGAAGAGAGUCUAGAUUGUUUCACCUGCGACUGCUGAAUGGGAAGUGCCUGGAGAUGCAGAAUAAGCAGGUUAGUAAGUGUGAUGCUGGUGAAAAGAAAUGUGGGAAGAAAUAGGACUGGCUGUGGGGAGGGCACAAAGUGAACUAUGGUGACAUUAUUCAGGACACCAGGCUGGUUGGUGAUGGGGUUACUACUAUCACUCCAACUACUGCAUUACUGCUGCCUACAAGUGAGGAAAACCUGCACAUAUUUGGAACUGGGGAAUCUCUGCAGACAGUGACACAAGUGCUACCUAUGCAGAAGACAGAGAGCAGGAAGGAAAUACAGGGACACACGCGCGCACACACCUAUGACAACCCACACAGAUGGGACCGGAGUGGAAAUGAACAUUAUGAGUUCCUGGGGCCCAGAAGCUGUCAGAGUGGACUGAGUUGUUCUAAGUGAACAGGAAUGGCAGAUGAAGUGAUUUAGGAGGUAGGGAUGGCAGUGUAACCAGCAUACUGCUGAGGACACCUGUGACUGUCUCUCCCUUUUUGAGACUGCCUGCUCUGUACUCCUCUCCUACAGCUUUGACUUUCUCAUUGCUCUGUGUAGAAUUUUCAGGCUGCCAUGGUAUUCAAAGCAAAACCAAGAUUUUCACAGGCCUCUAGAUAAAUUAACACUCUUGGUUAUUCCCUGAGUGUAUCAUCUCUUCCCUUCUGCAAGGUAAUGAGAUCAGUCACCAUUGGAUGGGAACGCAGAGGCUGUUAUACCUAAUACAUAAAUAUAUUUAGUUUAUAGUAAGAAGGUGGCUCAAGAAUUGGCUAGUAUGUUUAUUAACCAUCUUCGUCUCAUAUAUCUUGCUGAGGCAACUUCCAAUUAGUUUGGAAUUUUUCUUACACAGGGAAUGUAGAUGUUACCUCUUAUGCUGGUAUCUAUUCCGAAUGGGGAAGAGGACCUAGGGAGACAUUUUUCCCCUAAUUUGCAAAAAUACUUAAGUUUCCACUUCUAAGCAUCACUUACAUUUGAAAAAGACCAAAAAACCCAAACAAACUUGAGGUAAACAAAGGGAAAACAAAUCAGCUACCUACCCAUCUAAAUUUAGGCAGGCUAGAUGUCCUUUCGGAGGCCAGCAGGAUACGUACCUCUUUUCAAGGAUUCCAUGGGAAACUAUUUCCUUUAAAGAAGAGCUAAAAGGUAGGUGUAGGCUUAGUGUCUAGAUUAGGCAGACUGGAUCCCACCCUGAUGUUUAUUUUGGAGGUUUUCACUUGUAAUGGUGUAAGUGCUCAGAGAAGUCUAACACAGAGAUUUAUUAGCAACUGGAAGGCAGUUGGCUACUUACUAUUAGGAUGGAAUUUUGCAGACUGUUUUACGCAGUGACUGGGUAUUUGAACACUCAGUGUGUGUCAGGAUGAACAGGACAUUUUUUCAUGCUCAAGUCAUAGGCUUAAAACAGGAGAUCUGCUAAAAAAUGGCCAAGUUUGUAUUAUACAAUACCCCUAAUUAAAGGCCAAAAGGGCUGAACAAAAUCCUUCAACUGCAGUGGUUGGAUUUCUUUUAACUGAGAAAGAAUAAUAUUUAAAAUUUUUCAGACAAUAAGACAUUUUCCUUGCAAAAAUACUUUAAACUUUAUUUUUUGCAUUAUUCUGAAUGCUGACAAAUAAUUCCUCAUAUGAUUAAAAAAAUUCUAGAUACAUAGCUAUGUCUAGUUUUUAUGUUGGAUAGCAAUACUUUUGGAGUUAAUGAAAUCUUUCGAUCACCUACAGAUUACUUGAUAAGAAAACAUCCUUUUCUUUAAUGCUAUACAGGUAGAAAUUUAAUCAUUCUCAGGAUAGUAUUAGAACUGCAAUAAAUUUUAAAUGUUAUAUUUAACAAAAGCAUUUACUUCUUGUAAAUUAGUUUAGUGGUAAUAAUUUCCAAGAAAAGAAAACAUCAAUACCCCUACAGAUAGAGAGACUGAAAAUUUUUUUGUGUUUCAGAAACUCCCAAUUUAAAUACGAUAAAAAUAGACAUAGUAGGAAAAAGAAGGAGAUCCUUAUGCAGCAGAAUAAAUUAAGUCUGCAAAUGAAUUCUAUUUUAUUAGUCUUGAUUCUUGAUAGUUCAAACCUUCCCCUGUCGGUCUGAAGACGAUGGAGCAGUGGCUGAGCUCAAGCUGUAUUUACACUGACUGGCCAGGAUGUUUGUGUUAACUGUCUGAUUGCUGCUGCUCCACACACCAAAGAGGCCAAGUUGUGCUUUUCUUUCCCAUGAAUCUCCCUCUCUUUUCUUUGCUCAGGCUCUAAUUUCUCAAAUUUGUGAGUACAUCUUAUUUUUGAUGCUUCAACCUCUCUCUUUAACAUUGAUUUGAUGCUCAAAAAUUAUCAGAGAAAGAUUACCAAGAGAAAAAAACACCAGGUCACUUCCCUCCUCCCUGCCCUGAGCCCCACCAUGGCAGGCAAAAUUAUUUCAUGCACAUGGAGCAUUUUGUAAUGGAGUACAAGAGUGACAUCCUUUUGGAGAAGCCUAGUGCAGGGAAAUGGCAGAUUUUGCCUUGAUAUGUACACUGAAAAAUUAUGCUAAGGGAUCAAAAAUGAUAAAUAGCAGGAGAAGGAUGCAGUGAGCAUAUUUGCUAUAGCAGCCUGAACAUACUGAAGAAGAUGCAUGCAGUGAGGGGUAGAGGUGGAUGAUAGAUCUGCCUGUCAGGAUAAAUAUAAGAAGGUUGGGAAGAUAUAUCUAGAUUUUCUCUGCCUCUGCACUAGGGUCUUGGACAGGGGAUUUGGGAAAUAAAUCCAGGAUUCAAAAGCCCUGAGUAAGGGGAGCCAGAGAGAUUUAGAGUGUCACAAGGGAUGCGACUAUCGUUACUCCCCACUUAAAUAAAUUAACACUGAGAGUGUAUUACAACUAAAGUAGCCCCUGAACCUCUCUUCACUGAAUGAUUCAUGCUUUACUCACUUCAGAGCCUGCAGGAAUUUAAAGGCCAGCUCAGAACAUUUACCCUGCUAUUUAUAGUAAGUACAGAAGUAUCUGUGCAUUGUGGUCAGAAAAAAGUCUCAGUAUAAUCCAGAUGUCAAACAUUUAAAGAAGUAAUAAAAAGCAUGGAGAACUGCAAAAGAGAAAAAAGAAAAGAGAAGUUGUGCUAGAAAUGACAUAAAUGCACUAAAAGUGUAAGCUUGUUAAGAUUUCUGAAAAAGUCAGAUCAGUAAAGGAAUAGAGUUAAUAGAGGGGAAAAUAUGUAAAUAAAUAUUUUGUAUAAGCAAAAGAACAAUUAUUCAAGAAGAACAUUUUAAGAGGUGAAAACAUAAAAAAAAACAAGUAAUGAAGACAAUAUAUCUCAAGACAGAAUUACAUGAGAAUUCAGUCAGGCAGUAAAUAGGAUUGUCAAGUAACAGUAAGAGCUGAAAGUGAGCCAGAAGCAGAGAAGGGACAUUUUGUACUCAUCUCUGCUAUCCACAGAGAUCCAAACAUCCCAGACAUGAUGGAUGAAGGGGACAGCUUGAAAGAGAGACUAGAUACCAGCAUCACCAUAUUUACCCUUUUAUUAGCAGAUAUAGUUAUGCAAAUAGAGAACAACUGGGCUCUAACAGAUUAGCAUUGGACACUCUGCGAGUUAAUAUAGCAAAUAUAUAACAAAAAUAUAACAAAAGUGAGAGUAGCAACUGUGCAAUGAUAUAUAUUUAAUGCAAGUAAGGAUUUUGCAUGUGUGUGUGUGGACACAGGCAGGCUGCUGGAAGAACCACAAAACCAUGGCUGAAAUAAAAAAAGAAAAUUUAUUUCAUUACCUUGCUAACUGGAGGAUCCCAGCUCAAUCCAUGCUGGUGGGCAUCAGGAUUGCUGUUUGCCCCAAUUUAUCAAGGUCCCACACACGCAUAGUUUACCAUUAUGCUGUGAUCUCCCCUGAGCUUUUUAAUGAUCUUUAAGCUUUAAUCUUUCCUGAAACAGGGAGCUCAAACAUGUCCAUGAGACUGCCUCAAAGUCUCUCAAAACACCUACAUUAUCUCUACACAGAAAUCUUCUCAAAACAGAGACAGAAUAAGCAGCAGUAGGCACAAUAUAUGGGGUUUCCCACACUGUUAUUCUCCAGGCUUUGGCAUUCCCAGCUUCAAGGUCACCUGAGCAAAUCUACCAUCCUCCUCCUCAUUUUCCCACUUUUAACCCUUUGCUCCCAACACUGUGUUAAUUAAGUAGCAGAACAUUUUGGGGUAUGCUAAAUUGGACUGUGUUUGGAUGGGAUGAUUGGGACAGUUUGACAGCUGACCAUAUGGAUGUUGUUGUAAAACAUUUGUGAGGUGGGUUUUUACAAAAUCAAUAAUUAUCUUAAAAAUACUUAAAAAAUCAGCCCCUACUGGUAAUGUUACUGUGGGAGUGAUGAAAAUAUACUUUAAAAAAAAGUAGCCAAAAUGCUAUAGUGAGAAGUAUUACUAUCUGUAGGUGUCAAUAAAUGCAUCAGUAAGAAGGUUUGAAGUACUAAAUUUGGGGAGUUUUAUCAAGGUGAUAAAUUUUCACUUUUUUUUCCUAUUUUCUUUUCCCAAUAUUUUUUGGUGUGUGUGACAAGGUAAGGUCUUGCAUUGUAAGAUUCAUUUAAG